rnacentral:rRNA from 1 species
UACGAAGGGGGCUAGCGUUGCUCGGAAUUACUGGGCGUAAAGGGAGCGUAGGCGGAUAGUUCAGUCAGAGGUGAAAGCCCAGGGCUCAACCUUGGAAUUGCCUUUGAUACUGGCUGUCUUGAGUAUGGGAGAGGUUAGCGGAACUCCGAGUGUAGAGGUGAAAUUCGUAGAUAUUCGGAAGAACACCAGUGGCGAAGGCGGCUAACUGGCCCAUUACUGACGCUGAGGCUCGAAAGCGUGGGGAGCAAACAGGG